rnacentral:rRNA from 1 species
UACGAAGGGAGCUAGCGUUGUUCGGAAUCACUGGGCGUAAAGCGCACGUAGGCGGAUUUGUCAGUCAGGGGUGAAAUCCCGGGGCUCAACCUCGGAACUGCCUUUGAUACAGCAAGUCUUGAGUUCGAGAGAGGUGGGUGGAAUUCCUAGUGUAGAGGUGAAAUUCGUAGAUAUUAGGAAGAACACCGGUGGCGAAGGCGGCCCACUGGCUCGAGACUGACGCUGAGGUGCGAAAGCGUGGGGAGCAAACAGG